AUUGAACGCUGGCGGCAGGCCUAACACAUGCAAGUCGAGCGGAGCGGCGGACGGGUGAGUAAUGCCUAGGAAGCUGCCUGGUAGUGGGGGAUAACGUCCGGAAACGGGCGCUAAUACCGCAUACUAUCAGAUGAGCCUAGGUCGGAUUGGCUAGUUGGUGGGGUAAAGGCCUACCAAGGCGACGAUCCGUAACGGGUCUGAGGGGAUGAUCAGUCACCCUGGAACUGAGACACGGUCCAGACUCCUACGGGGGGCAGCAGUGGGGAAUCUUGGGCAAUGGGCGAAUGCCUGAUCCAGCCCUGCCGCGUGUGUGCAGAAGGUCUUCGGAUUGUAAAGCACUUUAGGUUGGGAGGCGUUACCAACAGAAUAAGCACCGGCUAACUUCGUGCCAGCAGCCGCGGUAAUAC
rnacentral:rRNA from 1 species